rnacentral:rRNA from 1 species
AACUAGAGUUUGAUCCUGGCUCAGGAUGAACGCUGGCGGCGUGCUUAACACAUGCAAGUCGAGCGGAGUGAAUCAAGAGCUUGCUUUUGAUUGACUUAGCGGCGGACGGGUGAGUAACGUGUGGGCAACCUGCCUCAUACAGGGGAAUAAUCACCGGAAACGGUGACUAAUACCGCAUGUGGCGUAUUGAAGGCAUCUUCGAUACGAGAAAGGAGGAAUCCGGUAUGAGAUGGGCCCGCAUCUGAUUAGCUAGUUGGUGAGAUAACAGCCCACCAAGGCGACGAUCAGUAGCCGACCUGAGAGGGUGACCGGCCACAUUGGGACUGAGACACGGCCCAAACUCCUACGGGAGGCAGCAGUGGGGAAUAUUGCACAAUGGGGGGAACCCUGAUGCAGCAACGCCGCGUGAAGGAAGACGGUUUUCGGAUUGUAAACUUCUAUCAAUAGGGAAGAAAGAGAUGACGGUACCUAAAUAAGAAGCCCCGGCUAACUACGUGCC